UGGGGGAUAUUGCACAAUGGGCGAAAGCCUGAUGCAGCGACGCCGCGUGGGGGAUGAAGGCUUUCGGGUUGUAAACCUCUUUCGCUAUCGAACAAGGCCCGCUUAGGGUGGGUUGAGGGUAGGUGGAGAAGAAGCGCCGGCUAACUACGUGCCAGCAGCCGCGGUAAUACGUAGGGCGCGAGCGUUGUCCGGAAUUAUUGGGCGUAAAGGGCUUGUAGGCGGCUUGUUGCGCCUGCUGUGAAAACGCGGGGCUUAACUUCGCGCGUGCAGUGGGUACGGGCAGGCUUGGGUGUGGUAGGGGUGACUGGAAUUCCAGGUGUAGCGGUUGAAUGGGCAGAUAUCUGGAGGAACACCGAUGGCGAAGGCAGGUCACUGGGCCAUUACUGACGCUGAGGAGCGAAAGCAUGGGUAGCGAACAGG
rnacentral:rRNA from 1 species